rnacentral:tRNA from 1 species
AUUAUAGUGGCAGAAUAGUGCGUUAGGUUUAAGCUCUAAGUAUAGAUUUUUAUCUCUUUAGUA